rnacentral:rRNA from 1 species
CCUACGGGUGGCAGCAGUGGGGAAUAGUGGACAAUGGGGGCAACCCUGAUCCAGCCAUGCCGCGUGUGUGAAGAAGGCCCUCGGGUUGUAAAGCACUUUCAGUGAGGAAGAACGCCUGGUGGUUAAUACCCAUCAGGAAAGACAUCACUCACAGAAGAAGCACCGGCUAACUCCGUGCCAGCAGCCGCGGUAAUACGGAGGGUGCGAGCGUUAAUCGGAAUUACUGGGCGUAAAGCGCGCGUAGGUGGCUUGAUAAGCCGGUUGUGAAAGCCCCGGGCUCAACCUGGGAACGGCAUCCGGAACUGUCAAGCUAGAGUGCAGGAGAGGAAGGUAGAAUUCCCGGUAUAGCGGUGAAAUGCGUAGAGAUCGGGAGGAAUACCAGUGGCGAAGGCGGCCUUCUGGACUGACACUGACACUGAGGUGCGAAAGCGUGGGUAGCAAACAGGAUUAGAUACCCGGGUAGUC